rnacentral:rRNA from 1 species
GAUGAACGCUGGCGGCGUGCUUAACACAUGCAAGUCGAACGAAGCACUUUUACAGAUUUCUUCGGAUUGAAGUGAUAGUGACUGAGUGGCGGACGGGUGAGUAACGCGUGGGUAACCUGCCUCACACAGAGGGAUAACAGUUGGAAACGGCUGCUAAUACCGCAUAAGCGCACAGUACCGCAUGGUACGGUGUGAAAAACUCCGGUGGUGUGAGAUGGACCCGCGUCUGAUUAGCUAGUUGGCAGGGUAACGGCCUACCAAGGCAACGAUCAGUAGCCGACCUGAGAGGGUGACCGGCCACAUUGGGACUGAGACACGGCCCAAACUCCUACGGGAGGCAGCAGUGGGGAAUAUCGCACAAUGGGGGAAACCCUGAUGCAGCGACGCCGCGUGAGCGAAGAAGUAUUUCGGUAUGUAAAGCUCUAUCAGCAGGGAAGAAGAAAUGACGGUACCUGACUAAGAAGCACCGGCUAAAUACGUGCCAGCCGCCGCAGUAA